ACUGAACGCUGGCGGCAUGCCUUACACAUGCAAGUCGAACGGCAGCGCGGACUUCGGUCUGGCGGCGAGUGGCGAACGGGUGAGUAAUGCAUCGGAACGUACCUUUCAGUGGGGGAUAACGUAGCGAAAGUUACGCUAAUACCGCAUAUUCUGUGAGCAGGAAAGCAGGGGAUCGCAAGACCUUGCGCUGAUUGAGCGGCCGAUGUCAGAUUAGUUAGUUGGUGAGGUAAAGGCUCACCAAGGCGACGAUCUGUAGCGGGUCUGAGAGGAUGAUCCGCGACAAUGGGACGGAGAAACAGACCAGACACCUACGGGAGGCAGCAGUGGGGAAUUGUGGACAAUGGGGGCAACCCUGAUCCAGCCAUGCCGCGUGAGUGAAGAAGGCCUUCGGGUUGUAAAGCUCUUUCGGCCGGGAAGAAAUCGCAUGGGUUAAUACCCUGUGUGGAUGACGGUACCGGAAUAAGAAGCACCGGCUAACUACGUGCCAGCAGCCGCCGUAA
rnacentral:rRNA from 1 species